rnacentral:rRNA from 1 species
AACGAACGCUGGCGGCAUGCCUAACACAUGCAAGUCGAACGAUGGUCUUCGGAUCAUAGUGGCGCACGGGUGCGUAACGCGUGGGAAUCUGCCCUUGGGUUCGGAAUAACAGUUGGAAACGACUGCUAAUACCGGAUGAUGUCGAUAAGACCAAAGAUUUAACGCCCGAGGAUGAGCCCGCGUCGGAUUAGCUAGUUGGUGGGGUAAAGGCCUACCAAGGCGACGAUCCGUAGCUGGUCUGAGAGGAUGAUCAGCCACACUGGGACUGAGACACGGCCCAGACUCCUACGGGAGGCAGCAGUGGGGAAUAUUGGACAAUGGGCGCAAGCCUGAUCCAGCAAUGCCGCGUGAGUGAUGAAGGCCUUAGGGUUGUAAAGCUCUUUUACCCGGGAAGAUAAUGACGGUACCGGGAGAAUAAGCCCCGGCUAACUCCGUG